GACGAACGCUGGCGGCGUGCUUAACACAUGCAAGUCGAACGGAAAGGCCCUGCUUUUGUGGGGUGCUCGAGUGGCGAACGGGUGAGUAACACGUGAGUAACCUGCCCUUGACUUUGGGAUAACUUCAGGAAACUGGGGCUAAUACCGGAUAGGAGCUCCUGCUGCAUGGUGGGGGUUGGAAAGUUUCGGCGGUUGGGGAUGGACUCGCGGCUUAUCAGCUUGUUGGUGGGGUAGGGGCUUUCCAAGGCUUUGACGGGUAGCCGGCCUGAGAGGGUGACCGGCCACAUUGGGACUGAGAUACGGCCCAGACUCCUACGGGAGGCAGCAGUGGGGAAUAUUGCACAAUGGGCGGAAGCCUGAUGCAGCAACGCCGCGUGCGGGAUGACGGCCUUCGGGUUGUAAACCGCUUUCGCCUGUGACGAAGCGUGAGUGACGGUAAUGGGUAAAGAAGCACCGGCUAACUACGUG
rnacentral:rRNA from 1 species